GAUGAACGCUAGCGGCAGGCCUAACACAUGCAAGUCGAGGGGCAGCGGGGAGUAGCAAUACUUUGCCGGCGACCGGCGCACGGGUGCGUAACGCGUAUGUGACCUACCUAUAACAGGGGGAUAACCCAGAGAAAUUUGGACUAAUACCCCAUAUUAUUAUUGAGCUGCAUGGUUUGAUAAUGAAAGACGCGAGUUGGUUAUAGAUGGGCAUGCGUGACAUUAGCUAGUUGGUAAGGUAACGGCUUACCAAGGCGACGAUGUCUAGGGGUUCUGAGAGGAAGGUCCCCCACACUGGAACUGAGACACGGUCCAGACUCCUACGGGAGCAGCAGUGAGGAAUAUUGGUCAAUGGUCGGAAGACUGAACCAGCCAAGUAGCGUGAAGGAUGAAGGUUCUAUGGAUUGUAAACUUCUUU
rnacentral:rRNA from 1 species